CAGUCGCCGCGGUAACACCAGCAGCCCAAGUGGUGGUCGCGUUUAUUGGGCCUAAAGCGCUCGUAGCCUGGCCGGUAAGUUCCCCGUGAAACCAGGUCGCCCAACGAUUCGGCUUGCGGGGAAUACUGUCGGUCUUGGGGCCGGGAGACGCCGAGGGUACUCCGGGGGUAGCGGUGAAAUGCUGUAAUCCUCGGGGGACUACCAGUGGCGGAGGCGCUCGGCGAUAACGGGCCUGACGGUGAGGGGCGAAAGCUGGGGGCGCGAACGGGAUUAGAUACCCGCGUAGUCCCUGUCUCUUAUA
rnacentral:rRNA from 1 species